GCCGCAGCGACGGCGGUCUGCGGCUGUCGGUUCUGUUUGUUGCUGUCACUGCUGUUUGUUCUUGCCAGCGGCUAGGGUCUGGCUGUUUUGCCCAGAAUGGAGUGCAGUGGCGUGAUGGUCUCGGCUGACAGCAGCCUCGACCUCCUGGGCUCAAGCCUUGGCCUCCCAAAGUGCUGGGAUUACAGCCCCACCUGCAGAGUCAAGUCCCUCCUCCCACCUCAGCACUGCUAGAAAAGAGCUUCAGGAUGGAGCCACACAUGUCACUCAAGCCCAAGGGUCAGUCAACAGCCCACAGCCCUAAAUUCAUCUGUGUCCAAUGCCAGACCCUGCAACUGCUGAUUUACAUGAAUCAACUCCAUCAUGCAAGCCUCAUGACAUCCCAAUGAGCCACCAUCCUGUGAGGAAGCCCAGAGCACAUGAAGAGACCACCUGCACAUGUUCAGAUCCACUGCCCCAGCUAAGAUCUCCGCUGACAGCCAGACCAAUCACCAAUCUUAGGAGCUGGCGAGCCUUCAGAUGGUCCAACCUUUGAGGCCCCCCAGAGGAGCCAGGUGGAGCAUAGAUGAGCCAUCCAUGUGGAUCCCUCCACCAAAUGGAAGAUUUAGGAGCAAAAUAAACAAUGUUGUCAUUGCUUUCACCCACGAAAUUGUUGAAUAAUUUGUUUUGCUGCUUAAGUAGCUGGAACACUGUGUUACCGAGGGAAGAGCAACAACCAACAGGAGAGAAUAGUCAGUUAAGUAAGAGAUUUUUGACCCUCUCCCUAUCCGUCCACUUUGCUCAACACAACAGAGAAGCCACAGCUUCCAAUAGGAAAAUAGAGAGGGAAGGUGUCUCCAACAGUCAGAUCACUCACUCCUGCCACCCCAGGGAGAGGGAAGGGGAGGAGGAAAAGCAUAGAUGAAAGUACCCUUCCCACAGCAGGUUCCCCAGCCACAGCCCUAGCCGACAGUAAAGAAAACUCAG
rnacentral:lncRNA from 10 species